UCAAGCUGAUAAGGGCGCAGGGUGGAUGCCUUGGCACUAAGAGCCGAAGAAAGACGUGAUAAGCUGCGAAAAGCUGCGGUGAGGAGCAAAUAUCCAUUGACCCGCAGAUAUCUGAAUGGGGAAACCCGGCUGAGCAAACCUCAGUCAUCCAUACGCCAAUACAUAACGUAUGGAGGGGAACCCGGGGAACUGAAACAUCUAAGUACCCGGAGGAAGAGAAAGAAACAUCGAUUUCCUAAGUAGCGGCGAGCGAAAGGGAAAGAGCCUAAACCGGAGCGCGUGCGUUCCGGGGUCAUGGACUGCAUAAGUGAGUCAGAAGCUAGAAGAAAGGUUUUGGGAAAGCCUGCCAGAGAGAGUGAAAGCCUCGUAUUUGAAAGCGGAAGACAGCGGCAGUAUCCGGAGUACCACGAGACACGAGAAACCUUGUGGGAAGUCGGGGGGACCACCCCCCAAGGCUAAAUACUACUUAGUGACCGAUAGCGCAUAGUACUGUGAAGGAAAGGUGAAAAGAACCCCGGGAGGGGAGUGAAAGAGAACCUGAAACCCUGUGUCUACAAGCUGUGGAAGCACCCUACGAGUGCAACCGCGUACUUUUUGUAGAACGGUCCGGCGAGUUAUGUGGUGUGGCAAGGUUAAGCACGGAAAGUGUGGAGCCGAAGGGAAACCAAGUCUUAACUGGGCGAUAAAGUCACAUAACAUAGACCCGAAACCGGGUGAUCUAUCCAUGUCCAGGUUGAAGCUGCUGUAAAAGGUGGUGGAGGACCGAACGCACAUCCGUUGAAAAGGGUGGCGAUGAGGUGUGGAUAGGGGAGAAAUUCCAAUCGAACUCGGAGAUAGCUGGUUCUCCUCGAAAUAGUUUUAGGACUAGCCUGUCAGGAGUCUGCUGGAGGUAGAGCACUGAAUUUUUGCGGGGGCGUCAAAGCCUACCAAUGAAUAUCAAACUCCGAAUGCCAGCCAGAUGCUCUGAUGGAGUCAGACUGCACGAGAUAAGUUGGGUAGUCAAAAGGGAAACAGCCCAGACCACCAGCUAAGGUCCCAAAGUGCGUGUUAAGUGGAAAAGGAUGUGGGAAUUCGAAGACAACUAGGAUGUUGGCUCAGAAGCAGCCAUUCAUUCAAAGAGUGCGUAACAGCUCACUAGUCGAGAGUUCCUGCGCCGAAAAUGUCCGGGGCUAAAACACGACACCGAAGCUGUGGAAUCAUGCUUGCAUGAUUGGUAGAGGAGCAUUCGCUGAGAGACGAAGCUGUACCGAAAGGAGCAGUGGAUUUCAGUGAAGAGAGAAUGCCGGAAUGAGUAGCGAGAGAUAGGUGAGAAUCCUAUCGGCCGAAUAUCUAAGGUUUCCAGAGUAAAGCUGAUCUGCUCUGGGUAAGUCGGGGCCUAAGGCGAGGUCGAAAGACGUAGUCGAUGGAUAACAGGUAGAGAUUCCUGUACUUCAUAAUAUCAGAAAUGUGGGGACACAGAGGCGAAGCACAAGCCGGGAAUGGAAAGACCGGUGCAAGCUAAGGAGCAGUAUGAGAGGCAAAUCCCUCAUACAAUGCGAGAGAGUGAAGCGUAGCGAACAUAAGGGUAGCGAAGUGUGUGGAGAAGCUGUCAGGAAAAGCCGCUAUUGUGUAUUAUGAACCCGUACCGUAAACCGACACAGGUGGAUGAGGAGAGAAUCCUAAGGCCGACGGAAGAAGCAUUGUUAAGGAAUUCGGCAAAAUGACCCCGUAACUUCGGGAGAAGGGGUGCCUGCGCAAGCAGGUCGCAGAGAAUUGGCCCAAGCAACUGUUUAGCAAAAACACAGGUUUAUGCGAAACCGAAAGGUGAAGUAUAUGAGCUGACGCCUGCCCGGUGCUGGAAGGUUAAGGGGAGUGCUUAGACUUUGGUCGAAGGUGCGAACUUAAGCCCCAGUAAACGGCGGCCGUAACUAUAACGGUCCUAAGGUAGCGAAAUUCCUUGUCGGGUAAGUUCC
rnacentral:rRNA from 1 species